GCCUCUAUUUUAAUUCAACUCUUACCUCUUCUGUAAUACAGAAGUACGAGAUCUUCCUCACUUUCUUCUCUAGCCCUGGAGGCGACACAGUACUAUCGUCCUCCGGCACAGGUCCGGCAAGUCUUGCCGCCAGGAUCGGCCUUAUGGGGCGAUUGGCUCCCUUCGAUUCUCUUCUGACACCUCUCGCCCUUCUAAAAUUGGAAAGGGUGUCUCGCUCCGAGGGUUCCAGAGCGGUUAUCUCCUUUCUCCCUUCGGAGGAACCUGGUUGUUGUUUUUCUUUUUGCGCUCUGAGGGUUUUCCGGCCGACUCCGGUGGAUUUCUGGCCGGAGACGAAAAGAAUCGCCGGAAAUCUGGUAAAGAUUAGAUUUUUCGUUGUUUAGGAUAGUAGGGGAAGAUUUAAGGUGGAUCCUGGGUGGGAGAUGGAGGGGAAGGCUAAGAGCCUCGGUUCUGACUGCUCUCGGCUUCUUCUUGGCAUCGGCGGCGGUAUCGGCAGAGCGGGGCCUCAAGAUUGAGGUUUUGAUAGAUGAUGUUAGUGCCGAAGAGAUGUUUGUGUUUAAUUAUCUUCUAACGGUGGUGGAUUUGUUGGGGCAGGCCGACGGAUCUUAUUAUCACCACGUUUGGCCGGGAACUCCUAUCAAAAUUUUUAUCUUUUGUGUUUUCUUUUCUGUUUAUUUUGGAGUAAAUGAAUAAGGGAAUUUGUAACUGUUAUGAUGGGAUUAUUCUGUGUUUGAUAACAGCCAAUGGAAUUCGGAUGUCGACUUAUAGGCUCGACGAUUGGGUUCUUGGGAGCGGCGUUCAGGAGCGUUGGAGGUAUUGGUUGGGGUGGGAUCUUUGUUCCCAUGCUUACGCUUAUUGGUAGGUUUGAUCCCAAAUCAUCAACCGCAUUUUGAAAGCGUAAGAAUUUCCUUCUGUUCUGUUGUUUCUUAGCAAGGGAAAGUUGUUUUGUGACUAAGAGAACUUAAGAGUUGUGGGAUACGAUGAGCCACCAAGGUUACACUUUAGAUGGAUUGGAUGCCAAUUUUUAUAUUUUGUUUGUUACACUUUAGCUGAAUUUUCUACUCAAAAGAUACAUACUUUUGUUUAGCUUGUUUGCUUGAAUUUGCUUACAAAGUUUAGGUGUCUUUCUUCCUCCACAUCCAUCGAGACCAUUUAAAGUAAGUUCAUUUCUGAUUGUCUUCUAUGGAUUAUGUUUAGCAUGAUAUUCUGACUAAGAUUUGGGCCGGAAGCAAAAGCUUUCUUCUUAAAUUAAUUUUGCUGUAAGUAUUUAGAUCUUGGUGCUCUUUGACCAGGUAUGAUCAUGGGUGCAGCAAUCAUUGAUUAUGACUUGGCUUUGCUUAUUCAACCAAUGCUUACACUUGGGAUCAGUAUGCGUGUCAUUUUUAAUGUAAUAUUUCCUGACUGGAUGGCCACAAUUCUCCUAAUUGUGCUCUUCUUAGGAACAUCAACUAAGGCAUUUAUGAAAGGUGUUGAGUCAUGGAAGGAGACACUGAUGAAGAAGCUGCUAAACGCUCUCAGCCCAACAGUAAGCAUGGGAGGAAUAUAUAAUAUCGUGGUUAUGUUUAUGUUUCAGAAACAAGUAUUUUAUCUCCCCCAUUUUAUCCAGGUGGGGGGAAUCAAGAAGUAGAAUAUAAACCUCUAGCUAUUGGCCCAAGCAAUGAUGGUCAAAAAGAGAAUAUGGUGACUGCAGAUCCAGAGGUAAGCUAGAAGCAGUCUGCUUUACCAUUUCGCCAAGUUGUUAAGACAGACAACAAUCAGUAACCACUGCAGGUACCAGUUCUUCAGAAUAUUUGCUGGAAGGAGCUUGGCCUUCUUGUCUUUGUAUGGAUGGCAUUCCUUGUAUUACAGAUCCCAAAGAACUAUACAGCAACAUGUUCGAUAUGGUUUGGGGUUUUGAACUUGCUUCAGGUACCAUGCCUUGCUUCCAUCAUGUGUUUAAAGGUCUAGUUAGACUCUAGUCUUUCAAAUGGCCUUGCGAACAUGAAAUUAUCAUGUUGUAAUUUUACAGAUCCCUGCCUCUGUGGCAGUGACUGUGUAUGAAACGAUUAGUUUAUACAAGGGAAAAAGAAUGAUUGCGUCCAAGGGGCAUGAAGGGACAAACUGGAGAGUCCAUCGGUUAUUUAUACAUUGUUCAUUAGGUGUCAUUGCUGCUCUUUUUGGAGCUUGGCAUUCCACCACAGGUGUUUAUCAUGUCUUCACUUACUUUCAUAGAAUUGCCAGACAAUUAUUUAUGCCAAUUUUUUAGUUGUCUUUGAAUUUUUGUCUCUAGUGAUCGAUUUGCAUAUUUUACUGAUAUGAACCAUGAUCGUGUAUC